GCCGGAGUAGCUCAGUUGGCAGAGCGGCGGUUUUGUAAACCGCAGGCCGUCGGUUCGAGUCCGACCUCCGGCU
rnacentral:tRNA from 1 species